rnacentral:rRNA from 1 species
CCUACGGGAGGCUGCAGUGGGGAAUAUUGCACAAUGGGCGAAAGCCUGAUGCAGCAACGCCGCGUGAGCGAUGAAGGCCUUCGGGUCGUAAAGCUCUGUCCUCAAGGAAGAUAAUGACGGUACUUGAGGAGGAAGCCCCGGCUAACUACGUGCCAGCAGCCGCGGUAAUACGUAGGGGGCUAGCGUUAUCCGGAAUUACUGGGCGUAAAGGGGGCGUAGGUGGGUUGUUAAGUCAGAGGUGAAAGGCUAGGGCUCAACCGUAGUAAGCCUUUGAAACUGGGGGACUGGAGUGCAGGAGGGGCAGGUGGAAGUCCUGGUGUAGCGGUGAAAUGCGUAGAUAUUAGGAGGAACACCAGUGGCGAAGGCGGCUUGCUGGACUGUAACUGACACUGAGGCACGAAAGCGUGGGGAGCAAACAGGAUUAGAUACCCGGGUAGUC